AUUGAACGCUGGCGGCAGGCCUAACACAUGCAAGUCGAACGAGUGGCGGACGGGUGAGUAAUGUCUGGGAAACUGCCUGAUGGAGGGGGAUAACUACUGGAAACGGUAGCUAAUCCCGCAUACCAUCGGAUGUGCCCAGAUGGGAUUAGCUAGUAGGUGGGGUAAAGGCUCACCUAGGCGACGUUACCUAGCUGGUCUGAGAGGAUGACUAGCCACACGGGAACUGAGACACGGUCCAGACUCCUACGGGAGGCAGCAGUGGGGAAUAUUGCACAAGGGGCGCAAGCCUGAGGCAGCCAUGCCGAGUGUAUGAAGAAGGCCUUCGGGUUGUAAAGUACUUGCAGCGGGGAGGCGUUACCCGCAGAAGAAGCACCGGCUAACUCCGUGCCAGCAGCCGCGGUAAUUC
rnacentral:rRNA from 1 species